rnacentral:rRNA from 1 species
ACGGCUCAGUAACACGUGGACAACCUACCCUUGGGUCUGGCAUAAUCCUGGGAAACUGGGUAUAAUUCCAGAUAGGUCACAGAUGCUGGAAUGCACUGUGGCCGAAAGCUCCGGCGCCCAAGGAUGGGUCUGCGGCCUAUCAGGGUUGUAGUGGGUGUAACGGACCUACUAGCCUACGACGGGUACGGGUUGUGAGAGCAAGAGCCCGGAGAUGGAUUCUGAGACACGAAUCCAGGCCCUACGGGGUGCAGCAGGCGCGAAAACUUUACAAUGCGGGAAACCGUGAUAAGGGAAUCUCGAGUGCCAGCAUAUAAUGUUGGCUGUCCAGAUGCCUAAAAAGCAUCUGUUAGCAAGGGCCGGGCAAGACCGGUGCCAGCCGCCGCGGUAACACCGGCGGCCCGAGUGGUAACCGCUUUUAUUGGGUCUAAAGGGUCUGUAGCCGGCCAAGUAAGUCCCUUGGGAAAUCUGGCAGCUUAACUGUCAGGCUGCUAGGGGAUACUGCUAGGCUUGGGACCGGGAGAGGUGAGAGGUACCUUGGGGGUAGGGGUGAAAUCUUGUGAUCCUCGGGGGACCACCAGUGGCGAAGGCGUCUCACCAGAACGGGUCCGACGGUAAGGGACGAAAGCUAGGGGCACGAACCGGAUUAGAUACCCGGGUAGUCCUAGCCGUAAACGAUGCUCGCUAGGUGUCAGUCACGGUGCGACCGUGAUUGGUGCCGUAGGGAAGCCGUGAAGCGAGCCACCUGGGAAGUACGGCCGCAAGGCUGAAACUUAAAGGAAUUGGCGGGGGAGCAC